rnacentral:rRNA from 1 species
CCUACGGGAGGCAGCAGUGAGGAAUAUUGGUCAAUGGGCGCGAGCCUGAACCAGCCAAGUAGCGUGCAGGAAAACGGCCCUAUGGGUUGUAAACUGCUUUUGCGCGUGAUUAACGGCAGGGAUGUGUCCCUGCGUGCAGUUAGCGUGCGAAUAAGGACCGGCUAAUUCCGUGCCAGCAGCCGCGGUAAU